AAAACGGCGAUGAUGAGAAUAGUAUUCAGAUUGGACAGUCCACAGAGAGAAAUCAGCAGGUGAGAAGAUUUUACGGAAGAUCUGAAGAACCGGCCUCGGAGCCCCGUACAAUUGAAGUACGGCGUAAUUUCGGCGUUAACGGAAACGAAGAGAGAACAUAUGAAAUGUUAAUCAGGGUGGUACCGCCGGAGUUUCCGGUCCCUUUG
rnacentral:ncRNA from 1 species